rnacentral:ncRNA from 1 species
AUAAAGGCUAUGAAGAGAAGAGUAGUUAUGAAGUAAUAUACAGAGAGUUUCCGUUUGGUGGAAGGAAAUUAUGAAAUCAUAAUGAAACAAGGCUUGGAGCUGCAUAUGGGAUCUUAUAAAAUUGUUUAUAAGUGAUAAUAUGACGUUUGUUCACGUUACAGAACUAGAGUAUGAUUUGACCUUUUAGGAAGAUGGUGUACUUGAUGAGAUUAAAAUGGUGACAUUUUAAGAAUAAAGGGUGGUACCGCGAAAUUGAACUUUCGCCCCUGUG